GAUGAAGAACGCAGCGAAAUGCGAUAAGUAGUGUGAAUUGCAGAAUUCAGUGAAUCAUCGAGUUUUUGAACGCAUAUUGCGCCCUCUGGUAUUCCGGGGGGCAUGCCUGUUCGAGCGUCAUUAAAUAACCCUCAAGCAUAGCUUGGUGUUGGGCUUUUUUACGUCCUUGACUGGGAUGGGCCUAAAAAUUAGUGGCGAUGGCUUUUUUACUUUCAAGCGUAGUAAAUCUCGUCUUGCUAAAGAGGAAAAAGAUUUUUUUUCUGCCAAAAAUUUUAACAUUUAAAGUUGACCUCGGAUCAGGUAGGAUUACCCGCUGAACUUAAGCAUAUCAAUAGCGGAGGA
rnacentral:misc_RNA from 1 species